UACGUAGGUGGCAAGCGUUAUCCGGAUUUACUGGGUGUAAAGGGAGCGUAGGCCGGGUUUUAAGCGUGCCGUGAAAUGUCGGGGCUCAACCCCGGCCGGCCGUUGAAACUGGCGCGCUGGAGUUGGAGAGAAGUACGCGGAAUGCGUGGUGUAGCGGUGAAAUGCAUAGAUAUCACGCAGAACCCCGAUUGCGAAGGCAGCAUACCGGCGCCCAACUGACGCUGAGGCACGAAAGCGUGGGUAUCGAA
rnacentral:rRNA from 1 species